UGGGGAAUAUUGGACAAUGGGCGCAAGCCUGAUCCAGCCAUGCCGCGUGAGUGAUGAAGGCCUUAGGGUUGUAAAGCUCUUUCAGUAGGGAAGAUAAUGACGGUACCUACAGAAGAAGCCCCGGCUAACUUCGUGCCAGCAGCCGCGGUAAUAAUCACU
rnacentral:rRNA from 1 species